CAAAGGUUAACAGUAAUUUCUGAAAGCGUAUAACCGGUAUUAUUUUUGCAAACAUCCUCACACAUGUUGUCUUGUUAAAGGUUAAAGGUGAAGAGUAAUUUCAACGCUAGUAGUUUUGAUUUGAAACACGUGACCAAAGCGCCUCAUCUUCCGGGACCCCAGGAAGGAGAAAAAGCAGUUCUUUGCAAAAUCGAAGGGUUAUGCUCUCUGGAAAAAGGACCGCUACAUUCUCAGCAGGGAAAGCGUCCAGAUCACGAGGAGGCCAAGGCUGAAAGGCCCUCCUUGAGCCUCAGCCUGAAGGCAGAGCGGAGGGAAGACCAGGAUGCGGUUUCGGCAGCCAAGGAGCACACACCCUGACCCUGGACUGGCCAAGAGGACACAGGAAGGUUGCUCUGGAGGAAGCCACCUGCCAGCAGGCAUCAGGGUGAGGACCACGGGAGGCGCUCAGGGCUGUCCUGGGUCUGAGAAAAGCAUCUGCAAUAAACCUCACUUGACGUUUGA